CUUCCCCUCUGUAUAUGGGUGUCUCACGUAUAGACACAGACACCCCAGAAGGCGCCCAGUGUCAUCUACAUCUUUAAUAUUAUGAAAGGCUAAUUUCUCUUAUUUCAAAAAGAAACUAAUUAUGAGUAGAAGCUCUUUCCUUACCUCCUACAGCUGUCCUGUACAUAUCCUGCUUACAAGACCGUUGCCAAAGCAACUGAAGACAGGAUUCGUUAGGGAGAGUACUGCUACAAGAAGCUACCAAUACAAAGCUUGGGAGCCAAACAUAAACUCAACAGAGACUUAAGGCCCUUUCAGCUGAAAAGACCAUUUAACAUCAUGGUACCCCAAAAGACGGAGGAAGGUGGUAAGCUUAAUAUCUUAGCCCAGUGGUGAGUACAAUGUUUCUUACACUAUCUGGUGAAUUUGAAUCAACUGGCCGUAUGGUUAAACAUAAAUUUCUAGCCCCACUCCCAGAGUUCCUGAUUCAAUGCAUCUAGAGUGAGAUCCAAGAAAUUGUAUUUCCAAUGGCUUUCCAGCAAAGCUGAUGCUGCUGACCUGGAGACCACACUUUGAGAACCUUGAUCCAUUGACCUUUAGGAGAUGGGCAGAAGAAACUCUCAUGAAUCAUAUGUAGAAGGACCAACCAGCAUAGAGGAAGAAAACCCAGACCACAGGAAGCAAGAUGGGAUGUUGUUGGGAUGGACGGAAUCAGCAUCACUCUAAAUAGAUGAGGAAGACUAGACACUGUGGACACGCCACAUGCCAAGGAGAAAGCCCUGGUAGAGAGGAGAGCAGAGGAUAAAAGCAAGGACUUGUGAUAGAGAGAAACCUUUGAGGAAGCGAGAAGAGGGGUACAGAGCACAGCUGAAGGGGUUCAGCUGAAUGAAGCUGGUGGAAGUGUGGCCCACAGACAUUCAUGGCAAUAACUUCACUUUCCUAGGGGCAGCAGAAAGGCCAGUGGGGGUAAGGACUACACAGGGCACUGGUGGAAACUGCGAAGAUUCAAGAUGGCCUGGAGAGGUGAGGCAGGUGCAAUUAACCAAGAGGAGGAGGCGUGUGAUGGGCAGAAAUGGUGCCCAGCUGAAAUCCCUGCUGUUGGUAGAAGGACCACAGAGUAGAGAAGCUGGAGACAUGGAGGCAGACUUUUUACCACUAGCGCCACCUGGAAAGGCCCAUAGGAAGUAGAAUCCUGCUAAGUCACUUCAGUCGUGUUCGACUCUGUGCAACCGCAUAGAUGGCAGGCCACAAGACUCCUCCGUCCCUGGGAUUCUCCAGGCAAGAACACUGGAGUGGGUUGCCAUUUCCUUCUCCAAUGCAUGAAAGUGAAAAGUUAAAGUGACGUUGCUCAGUCGUGUCCGACUCUUCGCGACCCCAUGGACUGCAGCCUACCAGGCUCCUCCGUCCAUGAGAUUUUCCAGGCAAGAGCACUGGAGUGGGGUGCCACUGAAGUAGAAUACUGUGCCCUAAAAAUGCAUGGCCACCAGGAACCUCAGAUUGUGACUUUAUUUGCAAAUAAGAUCUCUAAUUAAUUCAUUAAGCACCUCUAGAUUAAAUCAUCCUGAAUUUAGGGUGAGCUCUAAAUCCAGUGACCUGUGUCCUCAUAACGAGAGAAGAAGACACAGGGAGAGACCCAAGGAAGUCAAAUGAAGAUGGAGGCAGAGAUUGAAGCAAGGCAGCCAGAAGCCAGGGAACACCCAGAGCCACCAGAGGCUGGCAGAGGCAAAGAUGGAUUUUCCCCUAUGCAUCUUCAGAGAGCAUGCCCCUUCUGGCCUUGAUUUCAG
ensembl:lncRNA